ACCAAGAUCUGGAAGCCCUCCAACAUUUUCAAAACAGAACUGUUUAUUAAUAUAGAGAAAAAGAAGCAACAUCAAGAUAAUAAACACCCCAACAGCUGACAAAAAUCCGACUGCCUCUGGAGAUACUUUUCUAAAACAGCCAGAACAGGAAUGCUGCUGGAAGAGCAAGAAUGAAAGUCAUCACAUAAAUUUGGGCCAUCCUGGUGAUGUCAGGAUCCGCUUAAGAGCAGGAAGAUGCUGUCAGUAUUGAGAAAGAUGGCCCAGCAAGGAAAACAGCACAGCAUCAAGCUAAGGAUUCCUCUUUGAAGAAAGCUUCCUGCUGACUCAGAGGGAUUUUUCUUCUUCUGAACUCCUAUUAUGGGAAUGGAUGAAAUCACUUACAGAGCCACAGAAGGAAACAAAGCAAAGCCAGGAUCAUGAGUUGGAUUAUCUGGAGGCCUAGGCCAAUGGGGAAUUAUUGCUUGCAGUCACUUAUCAAGCAAAUAAACUUUUCCUUCUUUCUUAUGAAAUGUAUUUAAGAAGCUGAAAUUACUUAAAUGAUAAUGAGUUGUGAGAAAAGAAUUGUAGCAGAUAUUUGUUCUCUAUCCAAAUUGCACUGAGUGGGGAGGUGUACCCAUACCCCAGCUUCGAGAAUUGACUGAUAACAGUUCACACCUGCACUUCUCCAGAGGAUUGUCCUUGUCUGACCUGAACAUCUUGUUUAGUAAUGUCUGGUAGGCUAUGCUGUACCUUCCCUGGGCAGAUCCACUGGUAUAAGACAAACAACCCAACCUUCUAAUUUCUGGGAAGAAUCACCUCCGUGAUUAAUCUAAGCUCCAGAUCUCCCAGAGAA
rnacentral:antisense_RNA from 1 species